GUGCAGCAGGCGAGAAACUUUACAAUGUGCGAAAGCACGAUAAGGGAACUCUGAGUGCCUCCUAAGGAGGCUGUUCAGGUGUCUAAAAGCACCUGAAGGAAGGGCCGGGUAAGACCGGUGCCAGCCGCCGCGGUAACACCGGCAGCCCAAGUGAUAGCCACGUUUAUUGGGUCUAAAGCGUCCGUAGCCGGCUGGGUAAGUUCCUUGGGAAAUUUGGCUGCUUAACAGUCAAGCUUUCAGGGAAUACUGCCCGGCUUGGGACCGGGAGAGGUCAGAGGUACUCCAGGGGUAGGGGUGAAAUCCAUUAAUCCUUGGGGGACCACCGGUAGCGAAGGCGUCUGACCAGACCGGGUCCGACGGUGAGGGACGAAGGCUAGGGGCGCGAACCGGAUUAGAUACCCCUGUAGU
rnacentral:rRNA from 1 species